rnacentral:lncRNA from 1 species
UGUAAGGGAGAACUGAUGAAGAUAGGCCUAAGUUCCAUGCCAAGUAUAUUUACAUAUGGGAACAUAGGUACAAUUUCAUACCUAUGCGUGAACCAAUUGUCAGACUAGAUUUGACGACGUCUUCGAAUUACAUGACAUGAUUUAAACUUCAUGGUAAGCCAUAUCUAUUGUCGUAGAAAGCCAACACGACCCCACAUGAGGCCACGAUUGAGAGUACAUGCAUUGAGUUAAUCAUCAUCAGCUCUAACCCCAAUUAUAUAUCGAUAAGUGCACCACCUUACGGUCAGUAUGGUUCAUAUUUUUCUAGUGUUUUUACUAAUCCCAUAUUUUUCACACAAGCACCACAUUGUGCACCAUCAUACCAUGUAUCAACACCUUCUUUAAGAAUAUUUUUUGCACCACCUCUAUCUGCAGGAGCAUAUUACACGCCACUACCGUCAACAACACUAAUGAAUUCAUCAUCGCCUACCAUUCCA